rnacentral:rRNA from 1 species
CAGCAGCCGCGGUAAUACGAAGGGGGCCAGCGUUGCUCGGAUUUACUGGGCGUAAAGGGCGCGUAGGCGGACAGUUUAGUCGGGGGUGAAAGCCCGGGGCUCAACCUCGGAAUUGCCUUCGAUACUGGCUGUCUUGAGUACGGGAGAGGUGAGUGGAACUCCGAGUGUAGAGGUGAAAUUCGUAGAUAUUCGGAAGAACACCAGUGGCGAAGGCGACUCACUGGCCCGUUACUGACGCUGAGGCGCGAAAGCGUGGGGAGCAAACAGGAUUAGAUACCCCAGUAGUCCCUGUCUCUUAUAC